ACAAUCUGAUUUCACAGGAUUUCCAUCCCACAGCCCAAGCACAUCCCCACCCCCCAAACUGUCUCCUCUGGAGACCAUAAGAUUUUCAAUGUCUGUGAGUCAGUAUCUGUUCUGCAAAGAAGUUCAGUCUGUCCUUUUUUCAGAUUCCACAUGUCAGCGAAAGCGUUGGAUGUUGGUGUCUCAUUGUAUGGCUGCCUUCACUUAGCAUGAUAGUUUCCAGGUCCAUCUAUGUUGCUAAAAAUGCCGGUAUCUCGUUCUUUUUAAUGUCUGAGUAAUAUUCCAUUGUGUAUAUGUACCACAUCUUCUGGAUCCACUCCUCUGUCGAUGGACAUUUAGGUUGUCUUCAUGUUUUGGCUAUUGCAAAUAGUGCUGCAAUGAACACUGGAGUACAUGUGUCUUUGCGAGUUGUGGUUUUCUCUGGGUAGAUGCCCAGGAGUGGGAUUGCUGGAUCAAAUGGUAGUUCUAUUUUGAGUUUUCUGAGGAAUCUCCAUACUGCUUUCCACAGUGGUUGCCCCAAUUGACAAUCCCCCCAACAGUGUACUAGGGUUCCUUUUUCUCCACACCCUCUCCAGCACUUAUUGUUUGUGGACUUUUGGAUGAUGGCCCUUCUGGCUGGUAUAAGGUGCUACCUCAGAGUGGUUUUGAUGUGCAUCUCUCUAACAAUGAGCGAUGUUGAACAUCCUUUCAUGUGUUUCUUGGCCAUCUGUAUGUCUUUGGAGAACUGUCUGUUUAGAUCUUUGGCCCAUUUUUUGAUGGGGUUGUUUGUUUUUUUUGGUAUGGAGCUGCAGAAGUUGUUUAUAAAUGUUGGAGAUGAAUCCCUUGUCAGUUGAUUCACUUGCAAAGAUUUUCUCCCAUUCUGUAGGUUGUCUUUUUGUGUUCUGUGGCAAACAGUGGUGUCCUGAUCCCUGCCCUUGACAGCAAGCGGGAAGCUGUCCGCAAGGUCUAUAACAGAAAUGUGAAUGUCCCAAGAGAGGAUUUAACUUACCUCCAAGAUAAAGGGACAAGAAAAGUCCUCUUGUUGAAUUGUGACAGGAGUAAGGCAACUUUAUCAACACUCAUAAAUCCUUUCGAAAAUUCUUCAGACCCUUAGAAAUUAUGUACACCCAGGAAAUCCUCCUGAUUAUAUAUUUGCAAAUGUCACAUACCAUACGCCUCUCUGCUAUUCCAUUAUACACUAAAAGAGCUAUUUGCCUCUAUUUGACCAUUCGAUUUCUUUCAAUAAAUGGCAGUUGGAGUUCCCUUCAUGGCUCGGCGGUAAGGAACCCGACUAGUAUCCAUGACGAUGUGGAGUUGAUCUCUGGCCUCGAUCAGUGGGUGAAAGAUCUAGCAUUGCCAUGAACUGUGGUGUAGGUCACAGAUGCAGCUCGGAUCUCAUGCUGCUGUGGCUGUGGCCGGCAGCUGCAGCUCUAAUUUGACUCCUAGUCUGGGAACUACCAUAUGCCAUGUGUGUGGCCCUAAAAAGCAAACAACAACAACAACAAAACCCCAACAAUCAUGCCUGGUACCUUCCUAGGUGCUGAAUACAACUCCAGCCGGGGAGAACACACAGCCUAUGAGGUAUUCAGAUGUGGGCACAUCCCAAAGGCUUCUUUCAAAAACUGUCACAGAAGCAAGAACCUGGUCCUUGGAGCACACUAAAGGUGAUGUGGGGGGAGCGGCAGGGAAGUGGGGCCCGACCCUCUGUGACACCGCAGCAUUUAUUUCAACGUCUCACAAUAAUUCAAGGCAAGGGAUUGGAUUAUUCCAAUGUAACAGGUAAAGAAAACCGAAGCACAUCAAAUGACCGCCUUUGCCCCAGAUUGUGCAGCUAAUAAGGUAGGUGAAAGCUGGGGUUUAAAACCAGGUCUGUCUGAGUCUACGUCACAAUUAAGUUGCCUUUACACACAGUAGCGAUUUUCCCAGAAAUAAUUUUUCCAGUGAAAUUCUCACAAGUCUAAAAAUGAAAUUCUCACAAUGAAAAAAGAAUCCGAAAUCACUUUGGACAAUUUUCAGCGACAGGCGCCUCAAUUCUGAAAAACUCCUUUUACCCCACAGUCACUUCCAAAUUGGUUAUAAUAAUAUGCUCUCAUAGGUAACGAGGAACAGGAAUAAUGUUAUAAAAGCCACAUACUGCGAAAUGCUUCCAUAUGCUUAAAAAAGCACACGUCUUUGGGAAGACGGCACCACCUGGUGCGGAAAAGACCUCUAGGUGGCAUGGCUUUUUUGGUUGUCUUUUCAAUUUGUUUUUGCUUCCCCUCUGCCCCCAAGAAUAUCUGGACAGACAAAGCAGAGCACAUAAAAUUUCAACCUGGUGUCCAGGUCUGAGAAUGGUAACCGCUUGAGUAUUUACGAGGCGAAAGCUUCGGUAUGGCAGGUGUGGGGAGGGAGGGAUUUUCCAUCUAUCGUAGGUGGGCUGAUCCAGGUGGGAGGGUCCUGACAAGUCAGCUGGAGGGAUUCCCUUUAAGUAAAACGUCGCACAUUGCACCUACAAACUUUUGAGGACCACUCGAAGGGUCUUGGAAGGACCUAGGAAGCAAAGAGGCCGGAAGCUUACAUUUCAUCACUGUCAUCCUAAGUCUGCUUCUGAGCUGGCAAACUAUUUUUCAUCAUUAUAAAUGCUGGAGGAUGCCAACACGUGGGCGCCUGUGGCUGCAUGUGGACACGGUAUUGCUUAUUUCAAGUAUUAAUAUGCAGCCGUUUCCAUGGAUACCUGAUGAUAACUAUGCCACAAUACGUGUAUUAGAAGGCUAUUGGAACACUGACUCUGAUGCAGUGAAUUCUUAGUUUCUAAUUCAAGUGUUAUGAUUCUGGUACCUGUCUAAGAUUAAUUUACAGAUGGUUUAUACACUCACCCACUGAAAUUCUAAGAACGCUGAAUUUAUGUUUUAUCUUGAUAUGAGGCAGAGCUUUUCACAUUUAUUCAAGAACGUCAUAGUUUAAUAGCAAUUGGGACAGAGAAUUACCCUGGAGGUUGAAAGAUGGAUUAAAACUCAAGUAAGAAGCCCCUUGCUUGCAGCAUUAUCAAGAGACUAUAUAUCCUUCAAUGACAUUUAAAAAAUAAUAAAAAAACUUUUAUAGUACGUGUGUAGUUAAAAAUUAUCUUCUCUUGUGUCCUGGAGGUAGAAUCCUGGAAGCAGAAAGCAGUAAAGUGAUUUUAAAGGUGAAGUGACUGAGGCUCAGAGAAGUAAUUUGAUCAAGGCCAACCCAUCUAUGAAUGCAGGACACCAAGCUACUUAUCUUGCUUCUGCUGCAUUUCAAAAGAUCAUGCCUGCCAAGGCCAGAGCUCCAAAAAAGGAACUGAGUCACAGGCUGGAGGACACUGCAGAGGCCCCUUAGCAGCCACACUUGUGCAAAUGGAGACACUGCCCAGGUCAGGUGUGGCAUGUGGUCUCUGCCACCUACACCUUGGAGCCCACAAAGCCAACUGGCUAGAGAGCCAGUCAUUAUUUUUCACUCCGAUGUUACAUUAUGAUCUCAUGCCAAUUUUCUGCUCAUGAGAAGAAUUAUCAUCAAACACUCUUCAUUUCCAUUUGAAAAGCAGAAAAGAUCACAAUCAGAGCUGAGUUGGAAAGAACAUGUAAGACUCAUUCAUUCAUUAGUUUCCUCUUUUAGUCUUUCCAUCAACAGGUAUGAGCAGCUACCCCUUACAAUGAAAGGUGAAUUUAAUCGCCUUUGAUUUUCCCAACUUCUCACACACCAAACAUCUCGAUCUGUUUCUCCAUAUACUUAUUAAAAUCAAUUCAGUCUCCGGGACUCUGGGAUUUUGUUUUCUAUGCAAUGUAUUCAUUCAUGCUUAAAACAAAUGCUUUAGAGUAGCAAUUACACGGACCACCCCGCAACCAACAACGGAUCUUACUGGCCACUUACUGUGUAUCAAGCUCUGUACAGGAAUCAUUUCAUUUAAUCCUCACAAUCCACUAGGUAGAAACAUAUCUUCUUGCUGUUACACAGAUGAUAAAACUGAGGCACAGAGAGGCUAGGUAGUUGUCCUAAGGACACACAGCUAGUAAGUGGCAG
rnacentral:lncRNA from 1 species